GAGAAAAGAGAUUGGGAAAUGAACAAGAAGAGAAGAUGUGGAUUAGAACCCUGUUCCUGCUGCGACCGUGAUGGUGGGCUGCCUGUUUGAGUGCUCGCGUGCCUCCUCCUCCACAUCUCUCUCUCUCUCUCUCACACAUAAACAAUUCGCUCCUUGCGCACUCAAUCUGUCCCUUGCUCUUGAUCUGUCUGUGCCGCUUUUCUCUUUCUCUCCCUCGCUCGCUCGCUCACUCUCUCGCUUGCUCGCUCUGCCGCGCUCCCUCUCUCUUAGUCUUUCUCUACCUGUUCUACUGGCUACUGCAGUAGUCCACCAGCCAGCCGCAAGUCUGACAGCCACACACAUGGCUAACUGCCAUAACUUACUACCUCAGCCCUGGAGGAAAACUAACAUAUAAGCGGAGGGGGGAAACCUAAAGAAAACAGGAGAGGAGACAGACAGCGUUGGAAAAGAAGAACCUUCUAUACCUUUCUCUGUGCAUGGAUGCAGAUACGAAGCCCACCUCCACUCACAUCGUCCCAGCUCUUUUUUCUCUCUUUGCAGAAGAGGACAAGACUGCUCUCUCUCUUAAGGCAGCAUUUUGCGAACCUCCAGCAGCGCAGCGCAUCUCCCUUCUCAACCCCCCACCCAGUGCCACCAUCUCUCCCACCACCCUCAACCCCUCCUCCCCCAGGAGGAAUAGAUGGAUUACUGCUAACUGUGCACACGGCAGCCUGCAGCUGCUCUGACCACGGCCAGCCCAAUGUUGGGAGGAAGUAAGAGGAACGCAGCGGAGGAGAGGAGAGGGGGAUGAUUGUGCCGGGAGUUCUUUAGCCUUUUUCUGUCUCUCAGUCUCUGUCACAACGGGGCUAAUCACCAACCGACUAGCCCUUGGCAAAGUCAAACUGAGGGAGGUCUCUCGACAAGCAGGCAGCAAACGGACAAGCCGACACAUGUAUCUGGAGCUGACAGAACUGGGAUUUUUAUAUCAUUAACUUUGUCGCUCGGUCUCGCCUCACCGUUCUUGCGCGGUAUGGAUCGUUUCGAUUUAUUCGCAGAACAGAUGGACUCUGGACGGCGUGACCUGGCAGGGGAGAAGUUUGCUGGGGCAGAAGGGUUCCGGGCACUUGUCAAGCCCCCCUGGCCUCACCUUCUUCGCUGAGUGCCGUCAAUGUAGCCCCCGGUUUCAACACCAGGAGCCAUUUUGUACUCUUGGCUAAUAGAGGGCCACUUCACUUGUUCAGGAGAGAAGAAAAAAAAAAAAAGUGCCAUGUUUCACCUCGAUGGAAAUUUGUGAAUUAAUGUGAUGACUGCAGCUCUUGACCUUUGGGAAGAGGCACAAGGAUCACUUUUAAACUCAUGAGAACCUCCCUGCGCUACGGAUGGAACUUAGGAGCCCUAAGUUGCUCCAGCCAGGCUAGGGUGGUCUGUCGACUGGUGCUUACCAUCUCCCCCCGCCAUGCAGAAUAAUGAGCCCUCCACACCAUGAGUCCUUUGGGCCAGGUUAGUGUGCAGCCUACCUGGAAUGCAGCCCUGCUCGCCGUGCUUACCCUCAUGGUGCCUGCUUUCAGUAUGUGCCAGUCUACAGGCCCCGCAUCGGGCUCGGCCCACCCACAGACCUGUCCGGGAGUGUGCUCUUGCACGAAUCAACUCAGCAAGGUGGUGUGUACCCGCCGUGGCCUAAUUCGUGUUCCUCCAAACAUCCCGGCCAACACCAGGUACCUCAACCUGAUGGAAAACAGUAUAGAGACCAUAGAGGCAGACACAUUCAGGCAUCUGCACCAUUUGGAGGUGCUGCAGCUGGGCAGGAAUGCCAUCAGGCAGAUUGAGGUGGGGGCCUUCAACGGGUUGACCAGCCUCAACACGCUGGAGCUGUUCGAUAACAGGCUAACCGUCAUUCCAAGUGGAGCUUUUGAGAACCUGUCAAAGUUGAGAGAGCUGUGGCUGAGAAAUAAUCCCAUUGAAAGCAUCCCCUCUAAUGCGUUCACUCGCGUGCCCUCGCUGAUGAGACUGGACUUGGGAGAAUUGAGAAAGCUGGAGUACAUCUCGGAUGGAGCGUUUGAGGGUCUGCAGAACCUCAAGUAUCUUAACCUGGGAAUGUGCAACUUGAGGGAGUUCCCCAGUCUCUCUCCUCUCGUGGGACUGGAGGAGCUAGAAAUGUCUGAGAACGUUUUUCCUGAACUCAAGCCUGGAUCUUUCCAUGGACUGAAAAACUUACGGAAACUCUGGAUUAUGAACUCCGCCAUAACAACGAUUGAGAGAAACGCAUUUGAUGAUAUUACAGAACUGGUGGAGUUGAAUCUAGCGCAUAACAACCUCUCCUCUAUUCCUCAUAACCUUUUCACUCCUCUUCAGUACCUUGUGGAGCUCCACCUGCACCAUAACCCCUGGCGUUGUGACUGCGAUGUAGUGUGGCUCUCCUGGUGGCUUAGAGAAUACAUACCGACCAACUCCACCUGCUGUGGCCGCUGCCACACCCCUAUACACAUGAGAGGACGGUUCCUGGUGGAGGUAGAUCAGAACACCUUCCAGUGUUCGGCACCAUUCAUACUUGACGCCCCAAGAGAUCUGAACAUCUCAGCAGCCAGAGUGGCGGAACUGAAGUGUCGCACAGCCGCUAUGAGUUCUGUUCGUUGGCUUCUGCCCAGUGGUACUGUGCUCACCCAUGGUUCAGUUCACCCAAGGAUAUCAGUCCUAAAUGACGGGACGCUCAAUUUUUCUAACGUUCUCCCCUCUGACACGGGAGUCUACACCUGCAUGGUGAGCAACAUGGCAGGAAACUCAAACGCCUCAGCCUACUUAAAUGUCAGCAACGCCGAACUAAACACAUCCAAUCUGUCCUAUUUCACCACGGUAACUGUGGAGGUUUUAGAACCCACUGCUGAGGAGACUCCAAAACCGAAGCCUACUGUCGCUGCGUCGCCUUCUGUCUUUCAGCCCGUCUUCAUUUCCACCCCAACGGUUUUAUUCCAAAACACCCAGACUCCUAGGCAAGUGUCGAAUCCCACUGCCAAAGUCCCCAGUGGUCCGGCAGCCAGCCUAGACGAGGUGAUGAAAACCACGAAGAUCAUCAUUGGCUGUUUCGUUGCUGUGACCUUGUUUGCGGCUGCCAUGUUGAUAGCGUUCUAUAAGUUGCGCAAACGGCAUCAACAAAGGAGCACGGUGGCAGCUGCCAGGACCAUAGAAAUCAUUCAGAUGGAUGAGGAGGUUCCACCGGUUCCGGCACCCACCUCCAUAUCCAGUGGCUCUGAUGACACCGGGUUGGUUCUGCCUACUUUAGUGGAACACAAUAGCAACACCUUUAAACCCGGCUAUGUGUCCUCUGCAAACAGACAAAUGGGCUAUGGAGCCCACUGGACCGAGAACAACUCUCUGCAUCGCUCAGUGAGACAGCAUCACAGCCACAUCAGCACCAUCGCUGAUCCAUACAUGAUAAAGACUUCUCAUGGAAAGGAAAAGGUUCAAGAGACCCAAAUCUGACUGACGUUCCUGUGGAUUUACCUGGACUCUUUCACCAUGUUCAUGCAAUAGAGUGCACAAAGAACAAAAUAUUAACUUUAUUUUGUACAGUCGUGCGAAGCAGAGACAUUUUGGUUUUUGUUUCUUGUACAUGCCUAUACAUAAUUAUAUAAUUAUUGAAAAAAAAAAAAACCCACAAAUAUAUAUAUGACACUACGGAGCAGUGGUGAGACAUGCAGAUUAUAUUAGAAAAGAAAGACAUUUUAAACUAUUUUCUAAAAACUGGUGACUUCUAUUUUAAAAAGAAACUGAAUUGCUUUUGUGAUUGAUUAUAGAACUUGGUGAUGUCUACUGUAGAAAAGAAAAGAAGCAUUUACUUUGUUUUGACAAUAUCUAGGACGCAGCUGAAAAAAAAAAAAAAUAGUCUUCACACAAGAGCCGGUUUCCGACUACAGCCCCUGGUUACAUCCCCACCAUUUACUGUGCCAAAUACUUUAUGCAAUACAUUAAAAUAAUCAGACGAAGACACACGAAUCUAGAUAGACAGAAACCCAUCCACGAUAGUAACAAAACUGCACAGAUACAAAGUGCUGUUCAGUAGCUAUCGGCCAAAUGCUUUUGGACUGCAGUGGUUUUUCUGACGCUAUGUUUUAACCCUCCGUUCGCUGGAUCUAACCUAUAAGCUUUAUUUGAGAGUACCAGUGCUUCUUAGAUGUAGUGUUUCUUAACAUGUUUUAUGUGUACACACAGUUCUCUGUUGGUCCCAGUGAAGAACAUGAAGUGCUGACUAACCAUUGCUGAAAAUACUUUGUUACAUUUUGUCUUUCCCCCUUCUGUUGCUUCUUUAAUGGCUUGUGUAGUGUUUAGGGCUAUUUUAGUAAUGCAUUAAAGCAGUUGCCUGACUUGUCUCUGCAAGGGCUCAUUCCGAUACACAAUUUCCAAAGGAACGGACACGUGGUGCGGUGGUUCAGGGCUUUGCUGAUCGUUCUGACUCCGAAGAGGAGAAAAUAAACAUCCGACUGGACUCAAGCUAAAUGAAUGUCUGACGCCGAGGCUUUUUCACGGAGUACCCUGAAACAUGACUCUGUUUCUUCCCUUUUCUUUUCUUCUGUUUAUUUUGAGCAACACUAUUUUUAUGGAGAGACAAAAGAGGCUAUGAAAAAUAAAAACACAACCUUUGGUUUGUAUUUCUCUAAUCAGAGAGAUGUUCAUUUGAAGUAUAUUUCCAUCUGUGUGUAACUGUUUUGGGCUGGAGGCAGUAUUGUAAAUCAUUUCCUAACUCAUACACCCGCUACCAUCCUAUGCAUUUGCUUAGUGUCUGCAUGAAUGGGUCUUUAAGUGACUGGUGUACAAUGCUGCAUUAUACCCCACAGUGGGGCUCUAUGCAGGUCAGAUAGGCUGUUGGUCUUUGAUGCCUCAGCUUGCUCUAAACAUUAAUUUCUCCAUGACUGUGAAAGAGAAAAAUACAUAUAUCCCACAGCUACACACUUUUAUGGGUUUCCUUUCCUCACACGGUUAUCAGAAUGUUUUGGCCAUACCUUAAUACACGACUCAUGGAAGCAGAGAAUACAGCAUUCUUUGGGUGCAAUGCUUGUUUUGCAUUUACUGGCUUGGAUCAUUAAAAAACAAUCUUCAGUCAGACAAAGAGAUUUUGUAAGUUCGGUUUUGCUGCUUUUAUUUUUUUAAUCGACAACCCGCUGAACAUUGUAAAACAGUAUGACUCAUUCACCGUUGCGUCUCAUCGCCGUCUCAAUAAAAAGCAAAGGAGGCUCUAUUUAAAGUGUUUCACCGUUUAUAUGUACACAACGUUGAAGGUGAGCGACUCGUGAUUUUGUUCACUGAGGUUCACAUUUGAACAGUUGGGGAUUUGAAUUAAAAGCAGGGUGAAUGUUUUCUACAUGCAAACCCAAGUUUGUUGACAUCAAGGCUUAUACAGUGAAAACAAACAAAAAAAAAAACUUUAAGAAAAAAUGUAUUCACGAUCCGAGGCUUUCUUUCAUGUAUGAAAUAUCAUUAAUUGCAAUGAGCUCAAUUGGACAGCAGGGGGCGUUUGCCCUGUUGUUCAUACAGCACACGGUCAGUAGUAGUGAUGGGUAGAUGAGGUAUCAUGAAACAGUAUUGCAUAUGCCACUAGAUGGUGCUCUUGGUUUAGAAGUGCUGUGAGGUUUCAUUGAAUGAGUUGUUCAAGUCCAAACAUUUUACAGCAGACAGCGCCAUCUGGUGGCCUUUGAAAAUCAGGACACUGCUUCAUGAAACCUCAUCUAUCCAUCACUAGUAGUCAGUAGUAAUUCGGACUUCCAUCAGAAUUUGAUGAUCAAUUCUUUACCGUUUAUCGUUGAAAUAUGUUUUUGUGUUUGUUUUUUUACUUACUUUGAUGGAUAAACACAGAUGAUCACAUCACUUCCUGAAUACUAAUAAUACUAAUAAUAACAGAGUGAUAACUUCUCACUUUAGUGUGUGAUACAGAGGUCUUGCACUGCAUGUUUAAAUAAAUAUUGCUUCUUUAAUUCUGACACAAACUUUGGAGUAUUACAGUAAAGUUGAAUUCUUCAAACAAACAAUGUUCAGCUCAUGACGUCAGCAGGCGCGUGUUUUUCCUUUGAAGCUCUGUGUUAAUAUUCCUCCGUGUGAACGCAUCCUAACUGAUGUGAAGCCCAUUUAAGAGCCAAAACUAUUCAGUGGUAACUUGCCAAUACGGUUUCAAAACACAGUGCAGCAUAGAAAAAAACCGGAGUAUUUGUCAACACACUUUGCGGGGUGCCAGUACAAGUGGGUCUCAUUACGCGGAUGAAGCUCCAGUGUCUGUCAGUUGUUCCUCUCCUCAGAAGAUGCAUCAGUGUAAAAUCCUUACAGGCUGUCCUAUCACUGAGCGGCGUGAUGGCAGCUCUUCGCUUUGACUAAGCAGACAUUUUUUACCGAGUUGUUACAGUAACUGUGUGGGUUGAGGAAGAGCACACUCUUAUUAUUUUCCAAGCACAGCUUGUCUGUGGCCGUGGCUUCAUAAGAGCCUGUUGGCUGUUGGCUAUAAUGGUCCUGACAGCAGUGACACAGACAGAAUCUUUGAUUUUUUUCCGCUUCUAAAAGAAGACGCCUGCUUAAUAGGUGAGGCCCUGACAUCACACGGUGUCUUGACCAUUGCUGAUUUAAAUGAAUAUAUUUUAUUUUACUGUCUUUUUUCCAACAUGACCUCUGAUUUAAAGGAGAGUUCAUGAGGGUUUGCUCUUCGUCGUCAUCGCCUGAGCGAACACAUUGCACCUUGAACGACCGAAGGACGCCAGGUGCUACUGCAGUUGCUGCUCAUUUUAAAAUUUCAUGAAAGGCCAGUUCAACCUUCAAUCUGUGCUGCGGAUCUCAGGUUCAAGCUUGUUAAAGACAGCUUUGCUAACUCAUGCUGAAAGCCAGGAGGACUAGAUUAUGAACUGCUAGAGGAAACCUUCAGUGUUGCACUUGCCCGUAUAUUGUGUGCUAUAAAGACAUCAUGGAUCUGUUUUUAAUAUGCCAGGUCCAAUGACUAGAGCUGGAAUAGAUUCAGGCCGACGUCAUGCUCUCAGCCAUAUUAAGGGAGGUUGGCUUUUAGCAAAUAUUUAUAGUAUAUAGCAAACAAAACAUGUGCACUGCAUAUCAGCACACAGAUGUCAUACUUAAAUCAGUGGAAUAGUAUCUGACUGAAGUCUGGACAGAUUUGUAAUGCAAGGGCACUAGUUCUCUGCAACAGCUGGUUUAAUGUUAGUGAAGCGUUUUACAAGGUUGUAAUGGAAGAAUUUGGGCUACAGAUGAAUUGACAUUAUUUUAAAGGAGUUUUCUGUUCCUGGACAAUUAUUAUUAUUAUUAUUAUUAUUAUUAUUAUUAUUAUUAUUAUUAUUAUUAUUAUGAGGUGGGACUUUUAUGAGUUGCUUACGAUUAAUUGCAACAAAAAAAAACAUGUUAAAAUAUUUAAUUUAAUUUUUGCUCUGCAGACAACAGGGAACCUUUGUAAGUGCAGGAGUUCCUGGUCCACUGAUCACACUGAUGCACAAGACGCUCCGCAGCAAGGAUGAUAACAACAACAACAAACAUGGAGGAAUCCGCUGAGAAUGCGUAACUUGGUCAUAUGGGGGCAAAGUUUCAUUUUAAGACAAAUAUUUUCUAGACAUUGAAAGAGCAGUAGUUUAAAUAAGGUGAUGUAAAAACUUGAAUAUAGCCACCAUCGUGAUUUAUUGUGCUAUUGUCAAACUGAUAAACAAUAUUGGAUUCUUGUGGCAAAUAUUCUUAUACCAUUAAACUGCAAUUAAUUGCGAUGAAUUCAUCACAAAUUCGCGAAUAUAUAUAUAUUUUUUAUUGACUCCCAUCCCUAAUUAUUAUUAUGGUCUGAUUUAUUAAUUCAGUUUUUCACAGUGUUUGCCUCACUAUAAGUAGUUGCGGGUUGCACGCCAAAUUUAUGAGGCAUUUUUUUUCCUGCCACUCUGAUUUCCUCCCUCACUCCGGAAACAUGCAGGGGUGAAUUGCUGGCUGUAAUCCAUCCAUAGGUGGGUGUGUGUUGUUUCAGUAGGCUGGUGACCUGUUCAGCACCAGUCCAUGGCGGAAGCAACAGGAUAUAAUGAAACGACAAACCGCUCACACGCUCCCAAUGAGUUCGCCGCAAGACUUGGAUUAUUAUUGACUUACACCAUUACCUUCAGGUCUUUAAUAAAGAGGGUAAUGCAUGUGUUAUGACUCGUCAACUGUUUAUCCUGUCAUCAUCUGCUGCCCCGCUUGCUCCGUUAUAUCAAGCCAAUCGUUCAACGGAGUGCAUUUCUUCUAAAGGACUUCCCGUUCCCCUGUAUUUUCUUGGCUCAGCAACAGUCAAAGAAUCGCUUGGCUGAUGCUCAAGAAUACCCACCUGUCUCUACCCCCCUCCCCCUCCCUCUUUAUCUAUUGAUUUUCAGCCAAUGGGUAACUGAUGAAGCAUCCACCAAAGACAUACUUCAUCUUUUGAACCGACUGCAGCUGACACCUGGCCUGAGGCUAAGCGCAGGCUGUUCUUGUCGCCAGUCCACCACAAUGGACAACAACUCGCAUCGGCCACAGCACCUUCCAUAAUGCCAGCAAGCUCUCUCUGGACCAGUGCAGCUCUGGAUAAAGGCUGGCAGCUGGAGGUUGUUCUUGGAGGUCUCUAUUUUUUUUCCAUCCUUCACUCUGUCUACUCCUUAUCAUUCCUGGUGUUUUUUUUUUUUUUUUGUUCCUCCUGUCAAGUGACAGCAUAUGUUCUGGCAACACCUCCACUCACUGGGAGGGGAAUAAAGUUGGAUAAAGUGAGGAGGAAGUAAGGGAAUGGGGGUUUUAUUUUUCCGUAAAUACACCCAAAAAGUGUACACAUUUUCGUGAGAGGUAAUUUACCUAUUAAGUAGCAAUACAAUUCUAAAAUAUUAUUAGUCAUACACAGAUAGAAGGUGGAAAAAUCAACUCAACUUCCAGCACAUUCCAGUCGCAACUAUCUGUUGUGUGUUUGCUUCAGACUGACCCUUGUUCACUACUGAGCCAGUCAUAACUAUUUGAGUUAUUUUGCUUGCAGACAGACUCCAAAAAAAAAAGUGCCCAUUUGUGGAAACAUCUCUUUUUCCAGGUCAUCAAAGUCCUCAUUGUUUCACUGCCCCCAAAGUCUGCA